AUGGGCACGCGGGAGUACUACGACUACCGGCGGGCCAUCUACGGCGACAUCACGCACAAGGCCAUCCUCGUCGACGCCGCCGGCACCCUCCUCGCCCCCACCGAGCCCAUGGCCCAGAUAUUUAACUGCAUUAGUGAAUGUUCUGGGUCUGAUACAGCAGCUAAGCUUAGGGAUAAGCUGGUCAAUGCAGGAAAAUCUAAAAGAAAGCGACUAAAAUCAACAUUUGAAGCUCGAGCAAUUUACAGAAUCUUCUACUUUAAUAAGCAUGAGCUGGCGGGGCAUAUGGAAGAUAUCCCAUGGGCCAGCAGCUGGAGCCUGGAAGCGGAUGUUAAUGCUCCAUAG
rnacentral:rRNA from 1 species